CACGUAGGGCGCAAGCGUUGUCCGGAAUUACUGGGCGUAAAGGGCUCGUAGGCGGCCAACUAAGUCAGACGUGAAAUCCCUCGGCUUAACCGGGGAACUGCGUCUGAUACUGGAUGGCUUGAGGUUGGGAGAGGGAUGCGGAAUUCCAGGUGUAGCGGUGAAAUGCGUAGAUAUCUGGAGGAACACCGGUGGCGAAGGCGGCAUCCUGGACCAAUUCUGACGCUGAGUGAGCGAAAGCCAGGGGAGCAAACGGG
rnacentral:rRNA from 1 species